UCUUGGGAACUUGUGCCUUUCUCAUUUACCUCUGGAGAACCAUCCUCGCUAUAAAGCCUCGACAAUAUGAAGUUACUUUAGACCAAAUCAAGAUGAAGAUUAAUGAUUUUAAAAACGAAAACAGGGAUCUUGAAAAAAACAUAGCGAGUUGGGAGGAGAAGGCCAGGGAAGCAAAGAAGCAAGAAGAAACAAAAAGAG